AUUGAACGCUGGCGGCAGGCCUAACACAUGCAAGUCGAACGGCAGCACAGAAGAGCUUGCUCUUUGGGUGGCGAGUGGCGGACGGGUGAGUAAUGUCUGGGAAACUGCCCGAUGGAGGGGGAUAACUACUGGAAACGGUAGCUAAUACCGCAUAACGUCGCGAGACCAAAGUGGGGGACCUUCGGGCCUCACACCAUCGGAUGUGCCCAGAUGGGAUUAGCUAGUAGGUGGGGUAAUGGGUCACCUAGGCGACGAUCCCUAGCUGGUCUGAGAGGAUGACCAGCCACACUGGAACUGAGACACGGUCCAGACUCCUACGGGAGGCAGCAGUGGGGAAUAUUGCACAAUGGGCGCAAGCCUGAUGCAGCCAUGCCGCGUGUAUGAAGAAGGCCUUCGGGUUGUAAAGUACUUUCAGCGGGGAGGAAGGCGGUGAGGUUAAUAACCUCGCCGAUUGACGUUACCCGCAGAAGAAGCACCGGCUAACUCCGUGCCAGCAGCCGCUGUAA
rnacentral:rRNA from 1 species